CCCUACGGGACGCAGCAGUGGGGAAUAUUGCACAAUGGGGGGAACCCUGAUGCAGCGACGCCGCGUGGGCGAGGAAGUAUUUCGGUAUGUAAAGCCCUAUCGGCAGGGAAGAAGAAAUGACGGUACCUGAAUAAGAAGCACCGGCUAAAUACGUGCCAGCAGCCGCGGUAAUACGUAUGGUGCAAGCGUUAUCCGGAUUUAUUGGGUUUAAAGGGUGCGUAGGCGGUCCGUUAAGUCAGCGGUAAAAUUGCGGGGCUCAACCCCGUCGAGCCGUUGAAACUGGCAGACUUGAGUUGGCGAGAAGG
rnacentral:rRNA from 1 species